rnacentral:rRNA from 1 species
UACGUAGGGUGCAAGCGUUGUCCGGAAUUAUUGGGCGUAAAGAGCUCGUAGGCGGUCUGUUGCGUCGGCUGUGAAAACCCGGGGCUCAACUCCGGGCCUGCAGCCGAUACGGGCAGACUAGAGUUCGGCAGGGGAGACUGGAAUUCCUGGUGUAGCGGUGAAAUGUGUAGAGAUCGGGAGGAACACCGGUGGCGAAGGCGGGUCUCUGGGCCGUAACUGACGGCUGAGGAGCGAAAGCGUGGGUAGCAAACAGG